UAAUGCUUAUUUAUUCACAUUGUUUUGAAUUAAUCAUGCAUUAUUUUGUAGCUAUGAAAUUUUGGUGAAGUAACUGUUAAGUUUUAGAAUGAUAUUGUGGGAUUGGUGUGAAAGGCCACAUCUGGCCAGUUUCAUCAUAAAUAUAUUUUUGGCCA